AUAUUUUGUGUAUUUACUUUUAUAUAUAUACUGUUGAUCUAGUAUUUAUAUUUGUUUUAUGAGUUUUCCAAAUUUUUAUUUUGGUAAUUCCUAUUUCAGUCAGCAGGGUAACUUGAUGAGUUGCAUAUUACAAUAUUGUUCAAAGUAUUAUGUGCAUUCAACUUAGACUUUGUAGAUGUGUUCCCCUUACACUUAAUAUUGCUUUUUCACUGAUCAUUCACUUCCUCGCAAUAAUUAGAUAAAUCUACCAAUUGAAGUUGCUCUAUGGGAUAAAUGAUCUGUAUUCCAGUCCUGAAUAUCUACUGUUGUAGUUAACAUUCCGUUAAAUGCAAAGUUACAAUAGUAGUUAUUGUACACAUUUGUCUUUCUGUCGAUUUAUUAUUUCUGUAACGGGUUAAGAUUUUAAUUUUAGGUCCCAUCAACUUGACACUUUGCACACAUAUUCAUUAUGAAGCAGAUAAUCUAAAGUGUAUGCCAAAUUACAGUUUUGACUUAGAACUUGAAGUUCACUUAACAUAGAAAUGUGAUAGUGCAAACAUGGCAUGACACAUAUGGACAUAUUCUAGUUCUUUCAUAAAUUCCAAACCUGUAUCCCAUGGUUUUGAUGAAAUUAGAAAGCUCAUUUUAUUUUUCAAACUCAGGGAAUACUUAUCAUUUUUGUUUGCCAUUUGUUAAAGAUAUUUAAAACGCACUUUAAGACAUAAUGAAUUAAGCACAUUUGCAUAUUAUAGAAUACUGAAUAUGGCACACUUGCACUUUGUAAAAAAAAAUCCAGUGUGGUCAGUGUUAUUAUAUAUGAUCUCUUUCAAAGUACAAACUGUAAAUGCACCAGAAGUUUAUUAACUUUUUAAAACAAAUUCCAAAAUGAACAGCUGUGCCUCCUAUGAAGCUCUGGUUUUAAUUUAGUCAAUUCUGCUAACAUCUGAGGACUUUUGUAGUGUAUUCCAGUCAUAAUAUUUUCUAAUGAUAUUUUAUGUCAAUCUGUCUCAAUUUUGUAUAUAACCUAAUAUUUAACAGAUAUACUUUAGUAAAAAGUUAAUGUGCAUUAUGUUUUUAUUCUUCUAUAAUUGUCAAUCCCCCCCUCUACAGUAAAGUAGUGGAUCUUAAGUGAAUAUUUGUUAUAUAAAAGGGGGAAUACAGUAAAUAUUGUACAGAGAAGAAAUUGAAAUAGAAGGAUUAUUAUAUUAAUUAUAUUAUUACAAGAAUUUAUUAUAAAAAUAAAUAAAAAAAGAAUGGGUCUGAUUCUGGACCCCAUCCCUCUCUCAGUACCAACACUUUAUACUAGUAUAUAAACCUACUGGUAACCUUAAUAAAACCACAACAAUUAUAUCUGCUGUUCAAGAAUUGAAGCAUAAUUGUUUUAUAUCUGUUGUAUAAUAGUCGUUUUAGUUGUUUUGUAAUAGGUAAAUAUGCUAUCAUUUCAGAUGAAUCAUUUUUACAGUGAUCUAGUUUUCUAGUUAGCAAAUUAUAAAUAAAUUGUUUGUCUUAAAUUCUUACGGGAGAUAUAGGUUUCGAUAUCAAAGUGAGAAUUUUGUUUUGAAAGUUUUUGUUGUUCAUAAUCUGAUUUAUCAUAAAAAUACUCUUAUUUAUUUGAUGAAUAUGUUUAGUUAAUUAAUUUGAAAAAAAGUUUGAGUUUGUUUUGAAUGAUAAUAUAAACAGUGAUAUUACUGUACAGUUAAUCAUAAAAAGGGAUAACUUUUUUAUCAUGUUGUCAUAUUCACUGUGCAAAAGAAAAUAUGAACAUUCACAGAAUUGGAAAAUGUCCCUUUAUCAGAAAUAUUGAGGGCCUUAGUGGCUCAGUGUUCUAGUUAGUUCAAAUACUGUAUCACAAGAAGAUAAAAGGAUAUGGAGUAAAUGUACAUUGGACAAAAUCACAAACAGUACAUAGAAAAAAUAAAAAAAAAGCUAUCAAUGAGCAGGGCUUUUGUUCCUUCACCAAUAAAAAUUGAUCACCACAAAAUAGCCUAUAGUACUGAAACUAGCAUUAAACAAUUAUCAACCAACCACUAUAUCAAAACAUAUUUAGGCUAAUUGAAUUUAUAAAAUAGAGAUUUUAGAAAAUCCCUCAAUUUUUCUAUUUCAUUUGCCUGUAAAGAGUCUAAAUUAACAGUCACUAUCUAGACAUUUCAUCAUUUGUCAGUUAUUUUGCUACUUAUGUGCAAGAUCAUGCCAUUUGAAAAAAAGA
rnacentral:lncRNA from 1 species